AUGGACAUGAUGGUCCUUGCUCAGUUUCUUGCAUUCUUGUUGCUUUGGUUUCCAGGUGCAAGAUGUGACAUCCUGAUGACCCAAUCUCCAUCCUCCAUGUCUGUAUCUCUGGGAGACACAGUCAGCAUCACUUGCCAUGCAAGUCAGGGCAUUAGCAGUAAUAUAGGGUGGUUGCAGCAGAAACCAGGGAAAUCAUUUAAGGGCCUGAUCUAUCAUGGAACCAACUUGGAAGAUGGAGUUCCAUCAAGGUUCAGUGGCAGUGGAUCUGGAGCAGAUUAUUCUCUCACCAUCAGCAGCCUGGAAUCUGAAGAUUUUGCAGACUAUUACUGUGUACAGUAUGCUCAGUUUCCUCC